AUUGAACGCUGGCGGCAGGCUUAACACAUGCAAGUCGAGCGGGAAUAGGUAGCUUGCUACUGAAUUCUAGCGGCGGACGGGUGAGUAAAGCUUAGGAAUCUGCCAUUUAGUGGGGGACAACAUUCCGAAAGGGAUGCUAAUACCGCAUACGUCCUACAGGAGAAAGCAGGGGAUCUUCGGACCUUGCGCUAAAUGAUGAGCCUAAGUCGGAUUAGCUAGUUGGUGGGGUAAAGGCCUACCAAGGCGACGAUCUGUAGCGGGUCUGAGAGGAUGAUCCGCCACACUGGGACUGAGACACGGCCCAGACUCCUACGGGAGGCAGCAGUGGGGAAUAUUGGACAAUGGGGGGAACCCUGAUCCAGCCAUGCCGCGUGUGUGAAGAAGGCCUUUUGGUUGUAAAGCACUUUAAGCGAGGAGGAGGCUACCUGGAUUAAUACUCUAGGAUAGUGGACGUUACUCGCAGAAUAAGCACCGGCUAACUCUGUGCCAGCCGCCGCAGUAAAAC
rnacentral:rRNA from 1 species